GUAGGAUGCAAGCGUUAUCCGGAUUUACUGGGUGUAAAGGGAGCGCAGGCGGGACUGCAAGUUGGAUGUGAAAUACCGUGGCUUAACCACGGAACUGCAUCCAAAACUGUAGUUCUUGAGUGAAGUAGAGGCAAGCGGAAUUCCGAGUGUAGCGGUGAAAUGCGUAGAUAUUCGGAGGAACACCAGUGGCGAAGGCGGCUUGCUGGGCUUUAACUGACGCUGAGGCUCGAAAGUGUGGGGAGCAAACAGGAUUAGAUACCCUGGUAGUCCACACUGUAAACGAUGAUAGCUAGGUGUGGGGGGUCUGACCCCUUCCGUGCCGGAGUUAACGCAAUAAGCUAUCCACCUGGGGAGU
rnacentral:rRNA from 1 species